GAUGAACGCUGGCGGCGUGCCUAAUACAUGCAAGUCGAGCGAACGGACGAGAAGCUUGCUUUUCUGAUGUUAGCGGCGGACGGGUGAGUAACACGUGGAUAACCUACCUAUAAGACUGGGAUAACUUCGGGAAACCGGAGCUAAUACCGGAUAAUAUUUUGAACCGCAUGGUUCAAAAGUGAAAGACGGUCUUGCUGUCACUUAUAGAUGGAUCCGCGCUGCAUUAGCUAGUUGGUAAGGUAACGGCUUACCAAGGCAACGAUGCAUAGCCGACCUGAGAGGGUGAUCGGCCACACUGGAACUGAGACACGGUCCAGACUCCUAAGGGAGGCAGCAGUAGGGAAUCUUCCGCAAUGGGCGAAAGCCUGACGGAGCAACGCCGCGUGAGUGAUGAAGGUCUUCGGAUCGUAAAAAUCUGUUAUUAGGGAAGAACAUAUGUGUAAGUAACUGUGCACAUCUUGACGGUACCUAAUCAGAAAGCCACGGCUAACUACGUG
rnacentral:rRNA from 1 species